AAUUGUAACUCGCACAUGAGGAGCAGGCCGCAGACAGUAGCCAUAGGAACAGAGCACUGCAAGAAGACACGGCAAGCAAUGGGCAACGACGCCACCAGGAGGGCCGAGCCACACCAAGACCAGCAACACUUCUCCAAAACGCGACCAGAUCACCGUAGAGGGGACCACUAUCCCCUCUCGCCCAGGCCGAGGGCGUCGAUCCACCGGAGAAUCGGACCAUGCAGAGGAGGAAAUGAAGCAGCUUGAGGAGGACAUCGAUCCUCCAAGGCGGGGAGUCACCGCUGGACAAAGGAUCCGCCACUAACUAGGACACCAAAGGCUUGCCGCAGGCCACCCUCCAUCCCAUAACCCAAAACGACGCCUUCAAGAAGGAGGUGCAGGAGCACCGUCGCCGCCCAACCAAGGUUGUGGAUUUUCACCCGGGAGAGAGGAGGGAGGAGGGGAGGGAGAUGGACCUCAACGUCGCCUUCAGGAAGGGGAGCGGCGCCCGGAGCGCCGCCGACGAUGUGGCCGCCGCCGCCGGCCAAGAGGUUACCCCGAUCCAGGGCUUCCCACCCCACCACCACGACGUCGUCCACCGGAUCCGGCAAGACAUGGCGUAGGAGAGGCCGCAGCAGGAGCCAAAGGAGGCGUCUUCAGAUAUGGAGAGGCCGGACACGAGGACCCGACCACCAGCUGCUCAGAUCCACCGCCGGCCCGCCGCCCACACGGCCAGGCAGAGGCGGCCCACCAUGCCAAGGGACGCCGCCCGCCGUCGGGGAGCGCCGCCCGCACCACCAGGAGCCGCCGCCCUGAGCCCUAGCCCCCUGUGCAGUGGCAGAGCGGCAGAGAAGGAUGACUUCAGUUGAGGCUAUUUCUUCAUCACCUUCUUUCUUUGAUUCAUAUCUUUGUUUUUUUCAGUGUGUGACUGCAUGUGUAACUUCUCGCAGUUGCAUUCAGAGUUCAGAAGAUGGGUUCUGUGAGGUGCAAGUAGCAGCCUCGAAUAUGAAGAGUUGCAUUCAGACCAUGGGUUCUACGAGGCACAAGUAGCAUCGAUGAAUAUGAAGAGGGUCAACCAUGUAAUUCACUCUCAACCUGCGCUACAAAAUUAUUGGCAUAUGCAAUUGGUGGU